rnacentral:rRNA from 1 species
AGGAUAAACGCUGGCGGCGUGCAUGAGACAUGCAAGUCGAACGGACGAUCAGGGCUUGCUCUGAUCGUUAGUGGCGGACGGCUGAGUAACGCGUAGGUGACCUGCCCCGAAGUGGGGAAUAACUGCCCGAAAGGGUGGCUAAUACCGCAUGUGGUGGUGUGUUCAUUCACACCAGUAAAGCCGCAAGGCGCUUCGGGAGGGGCCUGCGUCCGAUUAGCUCGUUGGUGGGGUAACGGCUCACCAAGGCGACGAUCGGUAGGUGGUCUGAGAGGACGAUCACCCAGACUGGGACUGAGACACGGCCCAGACUCCUACGGGAGGCAGCAGUCGGGAAUUUUUGCGCAAUGGACGAAAGUCUGACGCAGCAACGCCGCGUGAGGGAUGAAGGCCUUCGGGUUGUAAACCUCUUUAUCAGGGAAGAUAAUGACGGUACCUGAUGAAUAAGUCACGGCUAACUACGUGCCAGCAGCCGC